GUUCUUUUUAGCAAUGGCCGUGGAGACCCAGCUGCAGUUCCAUAUGCUGUAGAAACAGUGAAGGAAAUAAUUGGUAAAGUUCCUGUUUUUGGAAUUUGCAUGGCCCACCAGUUGCUUGGGCAGGUAUUAGGUGGCAAGACAUUCAAGAUGAAGUUUGGUCAUCAUGGUGGAAACCUCCAGUUGGGAACCUUCGUCAAGGACGUGUUGAGAUAAGUGCACAGAACCAUAAUUAUGCUAUUGACCCUGCAUCCCUCCCUGUUGGAGUUGAAGUAACUCACAUAAAUCUUAAUGACAAAAGUUGUGCUGGUCUUGCUUGCCCAGAGCUAAAACUGAUGUCCCUUCAAUACCAUCCGGAGUCUUCUCCUGGGCCCCAUGACUCCGACCCAACUUUCGGGGAGUUCAUUGAGUUAAUGAAUG